rnacentral:rRNA from 1 species
CAGUAGCCACGGGAAUACAGAGGGUGCGAGCGUUAAUCGGAUUUACUGGGCGUAAAGCGUGCGUAGGCGGCUUCUUAAGUCGGAUGUGAAAUCCCUGAGCUUAACUUAGGAAUUGCAUUCGAUACUGGGAAGCUAGAGUAUGGGAGAGGAUGGUAGAAUUCCAGGUGUAGCGGUGAAAUGCGUAGAGAUCUGGAGGAAUACCGAUGGCGAAGGCGGCCCCCUGGACAAAGACUGACGCUCAGGUGCGAAAGCGUGGGGAGCAAACAGGAUUAGAUACCCCCGUAGUCCCUGUCUCUUAUAC